GUGUGUGUUAUUCAGCUGACAAAACAAUACGUCUUGCCGUCUGUGAUGGCAUGUUGUGAAUUGGCAAUUUUAAAAAAAACUUAGCAAUUCUGUCGAGACACAAAGGACAAUAUUGAUCAACACUUUUUGACUGGCAAGAUGGCGGAGAGCGUAAACAACAACUGCUAAAGCAUGAGCAUGUGCUGCAGCAUUCCCUCCUGCGUAAACGCAGGCACACGCAUGCACGCACGCAGAAGACAGCUGACUUCAGUUCAGUAGUGUGGAGUCAGUCACGGAGAACUGUAUAGCUGUGACGAGGUGGCUCCAAAAAUCAAUCCUGGCAACCGACAGACAAUCCCAGCGGGAACUCAGAUGAAGAAAAAAAAAAAAAAAAAAAGAGACUGAAGAGAGAAAAAAAAAAAAUAACGACUUAAAACCGAAAAGAAA